rnacentral:rRNA from 1 species
AGCGCAGGCGGCAGGGCAAGUCCGAUGUGAAAACCCGGGGCUCAACCCCGGGAUUGCAUUGGAAACUGUCCAGCUCGAGUGUCGGAGAGGUAAGCGGAAUUCCUAGUGUAGCGGUGAAAUGCGUAGAUAUUAGGAGGAACACCAGUGGCGAAGGCGGCUUACUGGACGAUGACUGACGCUGAGGCUCGAAAGCGUGGGGAGCAAACA